GACGAACGCUGGCGGCGUGCCUAAUACAUGCAAGUAGAACGCUGAAGCUUGGUGCUUGCACCGAGCGGAUGAGUUGCGAACGGGUGAGUAACGCGUAGGUAACCUGCCUGGUAGCGGGGGAUAACUAUUGGAAACGAUAGCUAAUACCGCAUAAGAGUAGAUGUUGCAUGACAUUUGCUUAAAAGGUGCAAUUGCAUCACUACCAGAUGGACCUGCGUUGUAUUAGCUAGUUGGUGAGGUAACGGCUCACCAAGGUAACGAUACAUAGCCGACCUGAGAGGGUGAUCGGCCACACUGGGACUGAGACACGGCCCAGACUCCUACGGGAGGCAGCAGUAGGGAAUCUUCGGCAAUGGACGGAAGUCUGACCGAGCAACGCCACGUGAGUGAAGAAGGUUUUCGGAUCGUAAAGCUCUGUUGUAAGAGAAGAACGAGUGUGAGAGUGGAAAGUUCACACUGUGACGGUAUCUUACCAGAAAGGGACGGCUAACUACGUGCCAGCAGCCGCGGUAAUACGUAGGUCCCGAGCGUUGUCCGGAUUUAUUGGGCGUAAAGCGAGCGCAGGCGGUUAGAUAAGUCUGAAGUUAAAGGCUGUGGCUUAACCAUAGUACGCUUUGGAAACUGUUUAACUUGAGUGCAAGAGGGGAGAGUGGAAUUCCAUGUGUAGCGGUGAAAUGCGUAGAUAUAUGGAGGAACACCGGUGGCGAAAGCGGCUCUCUGGCUUGUAACUGACGCUGAGGCUCGAAAGCGUGGGGAGCAAACAGG
rnacentral:rRNA from 1 species